rnacentral:piRNA from 1 species
UGGAACUCACAUGGAAUCAUCUGGGCUGC